GAUGAAGAACGCAGCGAAAUGCGAUAAGUAAUGUGAAUUGCAGAAUUCAGUGAAUCAGCGAAUCUUUGAACUCACAUUGCGCCCAUUAGUAUUCUAGUGGGCAGGCCUGUUCGAGCGUCAUUUCAACCCUUAAGCCUAGCUUAGUGUUGGGAAUCUGCUGUAUUGCAGUUCCUCAAAUACAACGGCGGAUCUGUAACAUCCUCUGAGCGUAGUAAAUUUUUAUCUCGCUUUUGUUAGGUGUUGCAGCUCUCAGCCGCUAAACCCCCCAAUUUUUGUGGUUGACCUCGGAUCAGGUAGGAAUACCCGCUGAACUUAAGCAUAUCAAUAAGCGGAGGA
rnacentral:misc_RNA from 1 species